ensembl:snoRNA SNORD24 Small nucleolar RNA SNORD24
UGCAGAUGAUGUAAGAAUCUGCCUGAAAGAUGGUGAUGACGUAGUAAACCACCAAGAUCGCUGAUGCA